UUCAGAAAGCCAUAAUAUCCUGCUACCUGGUCGCCGCGGAAGAGAAAAGAGAUGGAAAGUAAAUGGAAAGAGGUACAUGCUCUCCUGACUCGGGGUAAAUACCCCUUCGGUUACGAGAAAAGUCAGAGGCAAAACCUGAGGAGAUAUGCCGCUAAAUUCAGAGUAAUGGGGGAAGAGCUCUGGGUUGGCAAUAGGAGGGUGGUGAAAACCACGGAGGAAGCCAGGAGACUCUUCACAGAGUUUCAUUCGUCAUCAAUUGGACGCCACACUGGUAUCCUGAAAACCUGGAUUGCCGUCUCAACCCGGUUUUAUUGGAAUGGCAUGUCUGUUGACAUAAAAAAAUGGGUCUCAGAAUGUGACAGGUGCCAGAGAGUUGGGAAACCAUUGACUGCAGUGGGAGAGUUGCAGCCAAUAAUGGUAAUACACAUAAAAAACUGCAGUAGAUAACAGUGGUGCCUUUAAUAGCUGAAACUAAUUACAUUUAUAUUAAUAACUGAAGCAACAAGUGUAUUAUUUAUCGUAAUGUCAAAAGAGGAACAUGUACAUUCAGACUUCAUGAACUGACACGCACUCUGUUAUUGGUCAGGGACGUGUAGAAAGACCCAGAGCUCUGUAUCUUGCAAUUUUGCUCUUUCUGAUUAAAACUGAUUAUUGAGCCUUAAAAUCCUCUCCUAUUGCUUCAUUAAAAGACCACGCUGCAUGCCAGAAAUGCAACAAUAUGUAAAUAAACUCUAAAUUUAAUUUUGUGUUUUUCAAUUUAAUACUUGCUGGUGCUACUUUUAAGAUUUCGGGUUUGUGGGAAUUGGUCGGGAUCGAGCUCACUGGACCACUGGCAAAAACUGUCAAUGGUUUCCAAUAUAUAAUCACAGCAACGGAUUACUUCUCCAAGUGGGUUGAGGCAUUC